ensembl:miRNA mir17a-2 microRNA 17a-2
GUCACUGUAGUGUCAAAGUGCUUACAGUGCAGGUAGUUCAAUAUAAUCUACUGCAGUGGAGGCACUUCAAGCUUUACCGUGAC